rnacentral:rRNA from 1 species
UUUGAUCAUGGCUCAGAACGAACGCUGGCGGCGUGCCUAACACAUGCAAGUCGAACGUGAUUGAGAGCUUGCUCUCAUGAAAGUGGCGCACGGGUGAGUAACGCGUAGAUAAUCUACCUGAUGAUCCGGGAUAACACUUCGAAAGGGGUGCUAAUACCUGAUAAGCUCACGGAGUCUUUGGACUCUGCGAGAAAAGGGGGGGACCUAUGGCCUUCCGUCAUCAGAUGAGUCUGCGUACCAUUAGCUAGUUGGUAGGGUAAAGGCCUACCAAGGCGACGAUGGUUAGCUGGUCUGAGAGGAUGAUCAGCCACACUGGAACUGAGACACGGUCCAGACUCCUACGGGAGGCAGCAGUGGGGAAUUUUGCGCAAUGGGGGAAACCCUGACGCAGCAACGCCGCGUGAGUGAUGAAGGCCCUUGGGUCGUAAAGCUCUGACAGAGGGACAGAAAUGUAGAGGGGCUAAUAUCCCCAUUACUUGACGGUACCCUCAAAGGAAGCACCGGCUAACUCCGUGCCAGCAGCCGCGGUAAUACGGGGGGUGCAAGCGUUGUUCGGAUUUAUUGGGCGUAAAGCGCGUGUAGGCGGUCUUAUAAGUCUGAUGUGAAAGCCCUGGGCUCAACCCAGGAAGUGCAUUGGAUACUGUAAGACUUGAAUACGGGAGAGGGCAGUGGAAUUCCUAGUGUAGGAGUGAAAUCCGUAGAUAUUAGGAGGAACACCGGUGGCGAAGGCGGCUGCCUGGACCGAUAUUGACGCUGAGACGCGAAAGCGUGGGUAGCAAACAGGAUUAGAUACCCUGGUAGUCCACGCCGUAAACGAUGAGAACUAUGUGUUGCGGGUAUUGACCCCUGCAGUGCCGUAGCUAACGCAUUAGUUCUCCG